UACGUAGGGUCCGAGCGUUGUCCGGAAUUACUGGGCGUAAAGGGCGCGUAGGCGGCCUCUUAAGUCGAACGUGAAAUCCCCGGGCUCAACCCGGGAACUGCGUCCGAUACUGGGGGGCUUGAAUCCGGGAGAGGGAUGUGGAAUUCCAGGUGUAGCGGUGAAAUGCUUAGAUAUGACAUAGAACACCAAUUGCGAAGGCAGCUCACUACGGGAUUAUUGACACUGAGGCACGAAAGCGUGGGGAUCAAACAGG
rnacentral:rRNA from 1 species